rnacentral:rRNA from 1 species
GUAGGUGGCAAGCGUUGUCCGGAAUUAUUGGGCGUAAAGCGCGCGCAGGCGGUUCUUUAAGUCUGGUGUGAAAGCCCACGGCUCAACCGUGGAGGGUCAUUGGAAACUGGAGAACUUGAGUACAGAAGAGGAAAGCGGAAUUCCACGUGUAGCGGUGAAAUGCGUAGAGAUGUGGAGGAACACCAGUGGCGAAGGCGGCUUUCUGGUCUGUAACUGACGCUGAGGCGCGAAAGCGUGGGGAGCAAACAGGGAUUAGAUACCCUGGUAGUCCACGCCGUAAACGAUGAGUGCUAAGUGUUAGGGGGUUUCCCGCCCCUUAGUGCUGCAGCUAACGCAUUAAGCACUCCGCCUGGGGAGUACGGCCGCAAGGCUG